CUCUCCUAAAUCAUUUAGAAAGUGAAAUGAUGUGGGGAAGAAAAAUUGACCUGUUUUUGAGCCAUGGAAUUACAGAGCUUGCAAAAGAUGGGGUAUCUAGCCACAAAACCAACAAAUUGACUCAACCUUCUCUCCCUAGCAACUCAUCUUCUCCAGUGAGCCUAAGUGGGUUGGUAGGAUUAUCUCUAGGGGAAAGAGGCAGUUGAUUCAUCAGGCCCAUCCAUACUGAGACUAGAAGGCAAGCCCUCUUUCUUGUUUGUAACUCAGUUUUCUUCCAAUGUCAUUCCAUUGAAACAAAUUCAAGCAAUUUAGCUCUUUGUCCAGUAGACCUAUAUUAACAGAGAAACACAUGUGCAAGGACUGGGCUUAUAGUUUACUGAGCUCAAUAGAAGUACUAUAACUAGAUGGCCAGGAUAACAUUUUUUAAAACAGUAUUUAUUUUUAUAUUGAAGUAGCAGGCAAAAAAAUAAACAGAGAAGGGCAAAAUGGAAUAAAUUAAAAGAUAUUUUCAUGUGAAAGGAUAUCUUAUUCACUGGUUUUAUUUGUAUCUGGUAGGAAAACCUCCACAUGCUUUUGGUAAUCUGUAGAUUGGGCUACAACUCUGAUGCUAAAGAGGUACACAAUGAGUUGUACGAUUUCUAGUGACUUAAGGCUCAGCUUGCCCUAGGCUAUAUACUCAAAAUGUGGUUUCACAGCACCAAUCUCAUCAGGAGGAUACCACAGUAGCAGUGCCACCCUUACAUCAUGCAUUAAAUAAGCAUCACAGAGAGCAAAAGGAUAAAUAUACUGUCUGGAAGGGAGGGUAAAGGUAACAGCCCAAAUCCCAGGUUUCCCUGACUCACUGCUGCAUUGUGGCUGUGUCCUCCAGCUGUUUCCAAAUGUCCGUGUCAGAGGAAAAAGGGAAGGUGAAAGUCCAUCCCUUGAGCAAAAACCAGAUGUACCUGCUGAGAAUAAAAUAGAGAAGCCACAAGCCUUGCAGAUGGCUGAAGUGCUGAAGGCAUUUCCCAUAUUUCCAAGAAGGUGGCAAAGAGGAAAAAAGGAAUGUUAUCCCCUUACCUCCCUUCCCAAUUUCCUCAGCUCUUUGUUCUGAUUUUUCAUAGACUAAAGAUGAUUCACUGAGUAACUGACCCAAAUGUGUUCAGUGCUUCUUGAGAGCUGUGGCCAGUGUAACAGCAAGCCAUAAGGGCAAAUGCAGGAGUGAUGGCAGUGACUUCUCUCAAAGGGAGGGCAAGAGCUGUUGUUCGAAUCUUUCCAGGAUUGUGCAGGGUUCUCUCCUGCUUCCUUUUUUGUGAAGGUGACUGUGAUGAACUGGGGUGCCUCCUGUGUGUGACAAAACAGUGCUGCCCAGCUGACUGUGGCUGCUAGCUGUAGCAAUAUUACAAUGAUUAGUCAAACCAGCAGUCUCCAGUAGAUUAACUACAGCCGUUCACUUCAUUGAACAAGCAUUGUACAGGAAUUCAGAAUGCAAACUAUACUGUCCAAACACACCUAAUAAAUUAGCAUUAAAGCUCACAUGAAAAUCCUCGAGGUCAAAUGCUAAUUUUGAAUGCCUACAUUAACUAGUUAUUUGCAUCUUCAAAAGUAUUUAACUGAUGUUUUGCAUGAACAUGUCUUUACCAAUAAUUCAAGAUGUGACAAUUUAUAUGUCUAGAGUUACAAUUAAAAGUAAGAAAACUCA